rnacentral:sRNA from 1 species
CCUUAUCGAGAACUGGGCUUAUGUGUAAAUAAAUCUUUGGUUAAACCCAUUCGCUCUCUUGCUUCUGCGGCGGCUGCUCGCGUUUUGUCAUGGCUUCCGUGAAUUGGACGGGUGUUGAUGGUUUCCUGGGUGACGCGAUUCUAGUUUGAUUGGUUGCCAUGAUUGCCGGAUGAAGGUUUGAGUGGCGCGAGAUGGAGAAGAGGGUUGUGCGAAGGAGAUGACGGUCAUGCGAGGAGCUUUGCGUCUUU